AAGUCGUAACAAGGUUUCCGUAGGUGAACCUGCGGAAGGAUCAUUGCGAACUGGGGCGGGGUGGGGCGGAGUGGCUGGCAUGCUGGGUUGGCAUGCUGGGUUGGCAUGCUGGGCUUUGCAUUGCAUUGCAUUGCAUGGCAUGGCAUGGCUUGCUAGCUUGCUGGGCAUGUCGGCGCUCUGCCUUGCCGCCGCCGAUUCGGUCUCGGGUCUCGGCCCGCGGACAUUUGCGCUUGCCGUGUUUGCCAGAGGUUAAUCGGAUACAAUGAAAGAGAAAACUUUUAACAACGGAUCUCUAGGCUCUUGCAACGAUGAAGAACGCAGUAAAGUGCGAUACGUGGUGCGACGUGCACGAACCUGAGAGUCAUCAAAUCUUUGAACGCAACUUGCGCUCCGCGGAGCAUGCCUGCCCGAGCGCCGCCUAAUUUUGGAGACGGAGGUUCUUUGCGCGCAAGCGUGAGACUCUGCCGCCGAGCUGGCUGUCCCGUGAGGGGUCGGCCGAAAGCGAGCAAGACACGGGAUGACGCCGUGUGUGUGUGCCAGAGAGUGUCGAGGUGGCGCAAGCCAAGUGGCACGCUUGUCGCAUGCACGGGGAAUCCAAUCUCCAAGGAGGAAUCCAAGGAAAAGAAAACACGGCCUCGGGUCAGGCAAGACGACCCGCUGAACUUAA
rnacentral:rRNA from 1 species